rnacentral:rRNA from 1 species
AGAGUUUGAUCAUGGCUCAGAACGAACGCUGGCGGCAUGCCUAACACAUGCAAGUCGAACGAUUGCCUUCGGGUGAUAGUGGCGCACGGGUGCGUAACGCGUGGGAAUCUGCCCUUAGGUUCGGAAUAACAGCUGGAAACGGCUGCUAAUACCGGAUGAUAUCGCGAGAUCAAAGAUUUAUCGCCUGAGGAUGAGCCCGCGUUGGAUUAGGUAGUUGGUGGGGUAAAGGCCUACCAAGCCGACGAUCCAUAGCUGGUCUGAGAGGAUGAUCAGCCACACUGGGACUGAGACACGGCCCAGACUCCUACGGGAGGCAGCAGUGGGGAAUAUUGGACAAUGGGCGCAAGCCUGAUCCAGCAAUGCCGCGUGAGUGAUGAAGGCCCUAGGGUUGUAAAGCUCUUUUACCCGGGAAGAUAAUGACUGUACCGGGAGAAUAAGCCCCGGCUAACUCCGUGCCAGCAGCCGCGGUAAUACGGAGGGGGCUAGCGUUGUUCGGAAUUACUGGGCGUAAAGCGCACGUACGCGGCUUUGUAAGUCAGAGGUGAAAGCCCGGAGCUCAACUCCAGAACUGCCUUUGAGACUGCAUCGCUUGAAUCCAUCAUAGGUCAGUGGAAUUCCGACUGUAGAGGUGAAAUUCGUAUAUAUUCUGACGAAGACCGGUGUGGGAAAGCGGCUGUACUGGACUGCUUAUCGACUACUAAGGCGCGUAGUUCCUGCGAUAGCAAACCAGGAAUUUAAUUUCACAGCUUAGUAAUGUCCAGAGACCC